GACGAACGCUGGCGGCGUGCUUAACACAUGCAAGUCGAACGGAAAGGCCCUGCUUUUGUGGGGUGCUCGAGUGGCGAACGGGUGAGUAACACGUGAGUAACCUGCCCUUGACUUUGGGAUAACUUCAGGAAACUGGGGCUAAUACCGGAUAGGAGCUCCUGCUGCAUGUUGGGGGUUGGAAAGUUUCGGCGGUUGGGGAUGGACUCGCGGCUUAUCAGCUUGUUGGUGGGGUAGUGGCUUACCAAGCCUUUGACGGGUAGCCGGCCUGAGAGGGUGAACGGCCACAUUGGGACUGAGAUACGGCCCAGAAUCCUACGGGAGGCAGCAGUGGGGAAUAUUGCACAAUGGGGGGAAGCCAGAUGCAGCAACGCCGCGUGCGGGAUGCCGGCUUUCGGGUUGUAAACAGCUUUCGCCUGUGACGAAGCGUGAGUGACGGUAAUGGGUAAAGAAGCACCGGCUAACUACGUG
rnacentral:rRNA from 1 species